GGAUGAACAUCAGAGCCCGCAGCUCUCGGCCCUGCUGGUGGCAGAAGCUUUGUACCAUGUGACGAUGACCUGGAUAUGGAAACAGAAGGGAGCUUCUAAGGACCGGAAGCUGAGAGUCUGUCUCCUGUCCUGUCCCGGACACUGGGGUUCAGGAACCAGAGCCUCAGUGUCUGCAGGAGUUGCUGGCUGUUUCCUGAUACAGUUGGAGCAGAAUGGGAUGUUCUGAGACAAAAGAGAUGUUUACCCAUCUUGACUAGUGUGGUCAUCUGAAGAAUGGCCUCCAAAGACAUCCUGAGAACCUGGGAAUGUUGCAUGGAUGAGGGAAUUUGCAAAUGUGAUUAAGUUAAGGAGCUUGAAAUUUGUGGAUCAUGCUGGGUUACCCUAGUGAGCUCUAAAUGUAAUCACAUGUGUCUUUAUGAAAGGGGGGCAGAGGGAGAUUUGCAGACAGAUGAGGAAGAAGAUGAGAAAACAAUGGACAUGAGAAAGAAAAGGUGAUACAAUUCAGGGACCCAAGCCAAUAAAUGAGGGUGACCUCCAGAUGCUGGAGAAGGGAAAGAAGCAGAUGGACUCUAGAGCCCCCACAAGAAGCAGGGCCCUGCCAUCACCUUGAUUUUGUCCCAGUGAAACCCAUUGGUCAUUUAGCUGCCAGAACUGUUUAAGCAUAAAUGUGUGUUGGUUUAAGCCAUGAAAUUUGCAGUAAUGUAUUAAAGCUGCCAUGGGAAACUAACACAACUGGAGUGGUAGUUCCAUGAAUGCAUGCAUUCACCAAACCUUAACAUGUACCCUUCGGAUACUGGCAUCAUAGGUCCAUGAAUGCAUAUGUUCACCCACACACUAAUAUGUACC
rnacentral:lncRNA from 1 species